GACAGAGGUGCCGAGCGUUAGGCGGAAUCACUGGGCUUAAAGCGUGUGUAGGCGGAUUUGUAAGUACCUUGUGAAAUCCCACGGCUCAACCGUGGAACUGCUUGGUAUACUGCUUAUCUUGGGUCGUCUAGGGGCGAGCGGAACAAACGGUGGAGCGGUGAAAUGCGUAGAUAUCGUUUGGAACGCCAAUGGUGAAAACAGCUCGCUGGGGACGUACCGACGCUGAGACACGAAAGCCAGGGGAGCGAACGGG
rnacentral:rRNA from 1 species